rnacentral:lncRNA from 1 species
UUAUUAGGUAAUAAACCUACUUUCAUAAUUGUCUAUAUCCUAAAUUUAGGGUUCUAGUUAGCUACUUUACAACACAAGCAAUAAGAUCAAUUUUGUUGAAGGAUCCUAAUAAUUCACCCUAGCAAUUCUAUGUUAUCAAUAAUUCAUCGAAACCAUAGUAAACCCCAAAUAACAAAGAGAACUACUCAUGCAUGAUCAUGCAAAAGAAAUCAAUAAUCUGGAUAUAUAUAAUGAAUAAAUAGAAUAAGGUAGAAAAACUGGAGUACCAAUACAAGAUCUCUGAAGGAGUUCUUGAUCUUCUCUUCAAAAAAUUACUAAUAAAAGCCUAAGUAAAUAUGGUGUAAGGUGUUUUGUGAUGGGCUCCUCUCCCUUGCCUAAAACAAUGAUAAAUAUUAUAAAUACUAGGUAUAAAGUCGACCAAAGGUAAUAUGGUAAUAUGUGGAUCUUCUAGGCUUGAGUCGGUCUUGAAACAUGUGGACCCUUCUACGUGCAUCAGUGUCGAGCACACUAACGGUGCAGUGUCGGUCGACGUAUUUUCUAAAUUUUGGCACUGGCUUCAAUUUCUUGAAACAGUUACGAAUUUUCUCAUCUGUAAGCUUCAAAAUGCUUCAUAAUCCCCAAAUUUCUACAAAACAUAUCUGUUGGACCCAAUUUUAGUCAAUACGUUAAUGGGCCACAAUCAAGUAAAUGGGCCGCAAAGAGUUAAAGCCCAUAGUGAACACUCGAGCUACAGACAGAGACUUCGAAGAUCUAGAGAUCAAGGAAAAGUUACGGAGAUCGCGGAACGGUUGCGAGCAUCACGGGAGCAGCCCGUUAUAAAAAGAGAUCGACGAAUAAGGAAAAUACACGUUGAAAACCCUAGAGAGAGCAACACCCAUACUUCGACCUUGUUUACAUCCAUCUUUAGAUCUUUUCUCUUAAUGAUCUCGUUGUAAAGUUCGAUCUUGUUUUACUCAUCAUAUUCAAUCUUAUUCAUCAAUAAAACUCCAUUUUUGUCUACUGGAAACUGAUUACAUCAUUGUGUUCUAAAGAUAUCGUUGCCUACAUCA